rnacentral:rRNA from 1 species
AUCUAAGUACCCCGAGGAAAAGAAAUCAACCGAGAUUCCCCCAGUAGCGGCGAGCGAACGGGGAGGAGCCCAGAGCCUGAAUCAGCAUGUGUGUUAGUGGAAGCGUCUGGAAAGGCGCGCGAUACAGGGUGACAGCCCCGUACACAAAAGCGCAUGUGCUGUGAGCUCGAUGAGUAGGGCGGGACACGUGGUAUCCUGUCUGAAUAUGGGGGGACCAUCCUCCAAGGCUAAAUACUCCUGACUGACCGAUAGUGAACCAGUACCGUGAGGGAAAGGCGAAAAGAACCCCGGCGAGGGGAGUGAAAAAGAACCUGAAACCGUGUACGUACAAGCAGUGGGAGCACCCUUUUGGGUGUGACUGCGUACCUUUUGUAUAAUGGGUCAGCGACUUAUAUUCUGUAGCAAGGUUAACCGAAUAGGGGAGCCGGAGGGAAACCGAGUCUUAAUUGGGCGUUAAGUUGCAGGGUAUAGACCCGAAACCCGGUGAUCUAGCCAUGGGCAGGUUGAAGGUUGGGUAACACUAACUGGAGGACCGAACCGACUAAUGUUGAAAAAUUAGCGGAUGACCUGUGGCUGGGGGUGAAAGGCCAAUCAAACCGGGAGAUAGCUGGUUCUCCCCGAAAGCUAUUUAGGUAGCGCCUCGUGAACUCAUCUCCGGGGGUAGAGCACUGUUUCGGCUAGGGGGCCAUCCCGGCUUACCAACCCGAUGCAAACUGCGAAUACCGGAGAAUG